UACGGGGGGGAGCAAGCGUUGUUCGGAUUUACUGGGCGUAAAGGGCGCGUAGGCGGCCAGCACAAGUCAGUUGUGAAAUCUCCGAGCUUAACUCGGAACGGUCAACUGAUACUGUGCGGCUAGAGUGCGGAAGGGGCAACUGGAAUUCUUGGUGUAGCGGUGAAAUGCGUAGAUAUCAAGAGGAACACCUGCGGCGAAGGCGGGUUGCUGGGCCGACACGUGACGCUGAGGCGCGAAAGCCAGGGGAGCGAACGGG
rnacentral:rRNA from 1 species